CAUGGUUGUCGUCAGCUCGUGCCGUGAGGUGUUGGGUUAAGUCCGCAACGAGCGCAACCCCUAUUGAUAGUUGCUAAUAUUAAGUUAAGGACUCUAUUGAGACUGCCAGCGACAAGCUGGAGGAAGGUGGGGAUGACGUCAAAUCAUCAUGCCCUUUAUGACCUGGGCUACAAACGUACUACAAUGGCCAGAUACAAAGAGAUGCGAAGCCGCGAGGUGGAGCGAACCUCAUAAAAAUGGUCUCAGUUCGGAUUGGAGUCUGCAACUCGACUCCAUGAAGUCGGAAUCGCUAGUAAUCGCGGGUCAGCAGACCGCGGUGAAUACGUUCCCGGGUUUU
rnacentral:rRNA from 1 species